rnacentral:rRNA from 1 species
GACGAACGCUGGCGGCGUGCCUAAUACAUGCAAGUCGAACGAGAGCGACCGGUGCUUGCACUGGUCAAUCUAGUGGCGAACGGGUGAGUAACACGUGGGUAACCUGCCCAUCAGAGGGGGAUAACAUUCGGAAACGGAUGCUAAAACCGCAUAGGUCUUCGAACCGCAUGGUUUGAAGAGGAAAAGAGGCGCAAGCUUCUGCUGAUGGAUGGACCCGCGGUGCAUUAGCUAGUUGGUGAGGUAACGGCGCACCAAGGCCGUGAUGCAUAGCCGAACUGAGAGGGUGAUCGGCCACAUUGGGACUGAGACACGGCCCAAACUCCUACGGGAGGCAGCAGUAGGGAAUCUUCCGCAAAGGACGCAAGUCUGACGGAGCAACGCCGCGUGAGUGAAGAAGGUCUUCGGAUCGUAAAACUCUGUUGUUAGAGAAGAACAAGUGCUAGAGUAACUGUUAGCGCCUUGACGGUAUCUAAACAGAAAGCCACGGCUAACUACGUG